CCUGGCCGCCCUCUCCUGAGUAUCUGGGCCUCGACCUUGCCGCUGAUGAACUCGUCACGUGAACAGUCUCCAUACGCGCCUAGCUUUGUCCCGGGCUUCCCACGUGCCGGCCAGCACCUCGCGCAGCCUUUACUCUGUGCUGAGCACUUCAUGUACAUUGUGUAUUCACCCCCCUCCUCGGCCACUCUGCGGAUGGGGAGACGUGGUGGAAGGUCCUGGCCUGGGGUCCUGCGGCCAGGGAGCAGCAGAGCUGAGCUUUGAACCUGACGCUUGCACUGGAAACCACACACAGACAACCAUGGUGGUGAAAACGAGAGCAACACUUCCUGCGCAUGUCCAGCAGCUGGAUUCCUGCACACUGACCCGGAGGAAGGGAGACCCAUGUCCACACAGAGACUUGCCCAUGGAUGCUUAUAGCGGUUUUAUUUGUCAUCUCCCCAAACACGGAACAAUCCAAACGUCCAUCCAAAGGGCAGUGGUCUAUCCCCGCACUGGCACCAUAGGACGCAGCAGGAACAGGAACGACUGUUGAUCCAUUGCCGAACCUCCGUCAUUACGCUGAGUGAAAGAAGCCAGACCGAAGAAAAGAGGACAGACCAUACGAUUCCAUUUCUAUAAUUUCGGAAAAGGCAAACUAAUCGGUAGUGACAGAAAGCAGAUCCCUGGCUGCCUGGGGAUGGGGGGAGUGGGAAGGAGGUAGGGAGGGAAGUCAAAGAGGAGGCGUAAGACUUUUGGGGGUGACGGAUAUGUUCACGGUCAUAACCGUGCUAAUUUCACUCGUGGGAUAUGUGCCAAAACUUGUCAGAUGUUGACCUUUAUAUAUGGACUUUACUGUAUUCUGCCUUGAGGAAGCAGUUAAACACAGACACACGCACAGUGUGAUACCACUUCUCACCUACUAGAAAGCCUAGAAUAAAAACAAAAACAAAACCUGGGAAUACCAAGUGCUGACAGAGAUGUGGAGCAACGGGAA